CCUACGGGAGGCAGCAGUGAGGAAUAUUGGUCAAUGGACGGGAGUCUGAACCAGCCAAGUAGCGUGAAGGAUGACUGCCCUGUGGAUUGUAAACUUCUUUUAUAAAGGAAUAAAACGAGGCACGUGUGCCUUUUUGCAUGUACUUUAUGAAUAAGGAUCGGCUAACUCCGUGCCAGCAGCCGCGGUAAUACGGAGGAUCCGAGCGUUAUCCGGAUUUAUUGGGUUUAAAGGGAGCGUAGAUGGGUUGUUAAGUCAGUUGUGAAAGUUUGCGGCUCAACCGUAAAAUUGCAAUUGAUACUGGCAGUCUUGAGUACAGUUGAGGUAGGCGGAAUUCGUGGUGUAGCGGUGAAAUGCUUAGAUAUCACGAAGAACCCCGAUUGCGAAGGCAGCUUACCAAAUUGUGACUGACAUUGAUGCUCGAAAGUGUGGGUAUCAAACAGGAUUAGAUACCCUAGUAGUC
rnacentral:rRNA from 1 species